rnacentral:rRNA from 1 species
AUACGUAGGGGGCAAGCGUUAUCCGGAAUUACUGGGUGUAAAGGGAGCGCAGACGGCUAAGCAAGUCUGAUGUGAAAGUCAUGGGCUCAACCCAUGGAUUGCAUUGGAAACUGCGAAGCUGGAGUGUCGGAGGGGUAAGCGGAAUUCCUGGUGUAGCGGUGAAAUGCGUAGAUAUCAGGAGGAACACCGGUGGCGAAGGCGGCUUACUGGACGAUCACUGACGUUGAGGCUCGAAAGCGUGGGGAGCAAACAGGAUUAGAUACCCUGGUAGUCCACGCGGUAAACGAUGAAUACCAGGUGUCGGGGGGCGAAGCUCUUCGGUGCCGAAAGCAAACGCAGUAAGUAUUCCACCUGGGGAGUACGUUCGCAAGAAUGAAACUCAAAUGAAUUGACGGGG